rnacentral:rRNA from 1 species
GAUGAACGCUGGCGGCGUGCCUAAUACAUGCAAGUCGAGCGAACGGACGAGAAGCUUGCUUCUCUGAUGUUAGCGGCGGACGGGUGAGUAACACGUGGAUAACCUACCUAUAAGACUGGGAUAACUUCGGGAAACCGGAGCUAAUACCGGAUAAUAUUUUGAACCGCAUGGUUCAAAAGUGAAAGACGGUCUUGCUGUCACUUAUAGAUGGAUCCGCGCUGCAUUAGCUAGUUGGUAAGGUAACGGCUUACCAAGGCAACGAUGCAUAGCCGACCUGAGAGGGUGAUCGGCCACACUAGAACUGAGACACGGUCCAGACUCCUACGGGAGGCAGCAGUAGGGAAUCUUCCGAAAUGGGCGAAAGCCUGACGGAGCAACGCCGCGUGAGUGAUGAAGGUCUUCGGAUCGUAAAACUCUGUUAUUAGGGAAGAACAUAUGUGUAAGUAACUGUGCACAUCUUGACGGUACCUAAUCAGAAAGCCACGGCUAACUACGUG